ensembl:misc_RNA predicted gene, 28016
GAACAGCCUCCUUCAAAAUGCAACUUGACUGUGAUUCAUGGUAAAAAAAAAUUAAUAAUAAUAAUAAAUGUACCAGGUCCUAGAUACUUUCAGAUCCGAGUUGAACUUGAUACCAGCAGUAAUAGCACCUUGCAAAGGAAUUACCUGCUAGUUUAGUAUUUUCUUCUUACAAUCGCUCCUUCUCUGGGCAUGGAAUUAAUUCACUGAGCUUUAUAAACAGACAAA